GGCGGACGGGUGAGUAACACGUGGGAAACCUACCUUUCAGCGGGGGAUAACGUUCGGAAACGGACGCUAAUACCGCAUGACGUUAAUAGUCGCAUGACUAUUAAAUAAAAGACGGCUCUGCUGUCACUGAAAGAUGGACCCGCGGUGCAUUAGUUAGUUGGUAAGGUAACGGCUUACCAAGACGAUGAUGCAUAGCCGACCUGAGAGGGUGAUCGGCCACACUGGGACUGAGACACGGCCCAGACUCCUACGGGAGGCAGCAGUAGGGAAUCUUCCGCAAUGGACGAAAGUCUGACGGAGCAAUGCCGCGUGUAUGAAGAAGGUCUCCGGAUCGUAAAGUACUGUUAUCAGCCAAGAACAAUUCACAGAGUAACUGUUGUGGAUCUGACGGUAACUGAUCAGAAAGCCACGGCUAACUACGUGCCAGCAGCCGCGGUAAUACGUAGGUGGCAAGCGUUGUCCGGAUUUAUUGGGCGUAAAGGGAGCGCAGGCGGUGACUUAAGUCUGAUGUGAAAGCCCACGGCUCAACCGUGGAAGGUCAUUGGAAACUGGGUCACUUGAAUGGAGCAGAGGAGAACGGAAUUCCAUGUGUAGCAGUGAAAUGCGUAGAUAUAUGGAGGAACACCAGUGGCGAAGGCGGUUCUCUGGGCUCACAUUGACGCUGAGGCUCGAAAGCGUGGGGAGCGAACAGGAUUAGAUACCCUGGUAGUCCACGCCGUAAACGAUGAGUGCUAAGUGUUGGGGGGCUUCCACCCCUCAGUGCUGGCGUAACGCAAUA
rnacentral:rRNA from 1 species